GACGUAGGGUGCGAGCGUUGUCCGGAUUUAUUGGGCGUAAAGAGCGCGCAGGCGGUCGUGCAAGUCGCGUGUGAAAGCCCCCGGCUCAACUGGGGAGGGUCACGCGAUACUGCUCGACUCGAAGGCAGGAGAGGGAAGUGGAAUUCCCGGUGUAGUGGUGAAAUGCGUAGAUAUCGGGAGGAACACCAGUGGCGAAGGCGACUUCCUGGCCUGUUCUUGACGCUGAGGCGCGAAAGCUAGGGUAGCAAACGGG
rnacentral:rRNA from 1 species